AUUAGGAAUCUUGCGCAAUGGGGGAAACCCUGACGCAGCGACGCCGCGUGUGGGAUGACGGCCUUCGGGUUGUAAACCACUUUUGCCAGGGAAGAAGCAAGUGACGGUACCUGGUGAAUAAGCCCCGGCUAACUACGUGCCAGCAGCCGCGGUAAUACGUAGGGGGCGAGCGUUGUCCGAAGUUACUGGGCGUAAAGCGCGCGUAGGCGGCUUCUUAAGUCUGAGGUGAAAGGUUCAACGCUUAACGUGAACAGUGCCUUGGAUACUGGGGAGCUUGAGUGUGGCAGAGGAUAGUGGAAUUCCUGGUGUAGCGGUGAAAUGCGUAGAUAUCAGGAGGAACACCCAUGGCGAAGGCAGCUAUCUGGGCUAACACUGACGCUGAGGUGCGAAAGCGUGGGGAGCGAACGG
rnacentral:rRNA from 1 species